UGGUAACCAGACGCCCACAGACUCCGCAAGGUCAGGACUGAUUCCUGCGGAGGGCCAGCCGGUUACUGUGAGGCACGGUGGUGUUUUAUUGUACCAUAAAUCACCUGUGCAGAGAGGAAAACUCACCUUUCGGGGACACAGCUUAGAGCCAAACAAUUUCUUCAGGGACAAAAUGAAUGAUUGGUGGCAUUUGUCGUCCAUUCCUUCAAAAUGGCUGCAAGCGAGGAUGACGAUCUCCUUUGGGUGAGACUUCAGCCAGGAAGCAACAGACGCAAGUGUUUCCUGUAAAAGAGGAUACUUGCUGUACAUGAUUACCACAAAGCUGUGGCAACACGAGUUGGAUUAAUGAUGAUCCCAGCACAGGGGUCACCACAGCAGAUCAUCUGCCUCCAUCUCACCCUAUCCUUAGCAUUCUCCUCUGCCACACAAACCCUCUGCAUGUCCUCCUUCACUGCAUCCAUGAAUCUUCUCUGUAUCCUUCCUCCUUUCCUCCUGCAUGGCAGCUCCCUAUUUAGCAUCCUUUGUCCAAUAUAACUGCUACUGUAUCCCUGCUCUGCAUGUCCAAACCAUCUCCGCCUUGCCUCUCUAACUUUGUCUCCAAACCACUCAAUCUGAGCUGUCCUUUGAUUUACUCAUUUCAAAUUUUGUCCAUCCUGGUCAUUCCCAGUACAGAUCUGAGCAUCUCCAGCUCAGCCUUCUGUGUCACCGUCUCCAAAUCAUACAUCAUAGCAGGUCUUAUUACCAUCUUGUAAACAUUCUCUUUAACUUUUGCUGCUAUCCUUAUGUGACAAAUCACAGCUGACA